rnacentral:misc_RNA from 1 species
CUCUUGACUUGCUUUGCACGGCGGGCUCCCUGCACUUUGGUGCGGCCAACCGCCGUGGAGCUGUCUUUUCACUAUUUCUUCCGUUGUGCUCUAGAAGCCGGGGAAGAAUGCUUGGAAUCGGUCGUCUGUGCGGUUGUACCCUCGUGUGGUAUGUUCUCGGUGGACUUUAUAAUGCUUGUGCUGUUGAUAACUUUUAUCAACGGGCGCAGUCGAUUUGAUGGCAUAGUACAUGUGCGGCUGUGGGCGAAUGCCCUAUUGUUGCAUACGUAUUUUGUCGGCUCUCGUGGAUGCGGUGCCCAUCGAGGAUAUUCCAUGGGCCUUUGGCCUGUGGAUUUCUUCGGGAUGUCCCUUGCGCAUUGAUCAUUGCUCCGCCGCUCCGCUCUUGUCCUGCCAAAUGUCGGGAUUUUUGAGCAUUGCUCGCAGGGUGUGCUCUUGCGCAUGCGAGAUGUUUGUCCCAUUGAAUUGAAUGAGCGAUUGCCGUAUGUCGUUGUGUGAAAGUGCUCUCCCGUCUUAGUGUUGUCACAGAGAUGCGGGGUGUGCCGGAAGACGGCGCGUUGGCUCUCGUUUAAGACGUGCUACCUGGUUGAUCCUGCCA